AAGAGCUGGGUGUUCUGCCCACAGUAAAAGUUUCGGGACAUUUCAUUAAUAGUAAUUGUGUUUAGAAUAUUCAUUUAGUUAUCGCGGUGCAUUGUGGGUAGCAGACGCCGUGUUUCAUCAGACGAGUUGUUACAGAAAGCCUGACCGUGGUCGUUGCAACUGGUCCUCCUGAGUUAUAUUCCUUUCGUUUCACCUUCGAAAGCAAUGGCUUUUCACUCUACAUUUUAUUGAGCUGAUGUCACAGUUGUACACUGUACGCCGUCAAGAAGACCGCAAUAAAGGAGCAAGACAUUCAGUUUCCUGGCUCAU